GAUGAACGCUGGCGGCGUGCCUAAUACAUGCAAGUCGAGCGAACAGACGAGGAGCUUGCUCCUCUGACGUUAGCGGCGGACGGGUGAGUAACACGUGGAUAACCUACCUAAAAGACUGGGAUAACUUCGGGAAACCGGAGCUAAUACCGGAUAAUAUAUUGAACCGCAUGGUUCAAUAGUGAAAGACGGUUUUGCUGUCACUUAUAGAUGGAUCCGCGCCGCAUUAGCUAGUUGGUAAGGUAACGGCUUACCAAGGCAACGAUGCGUAGCCGACCUGAGAGGGUGAUCGGCCACCCUGGAACUGGGACACGGUCCAGACUCCUCCGGGAGGCAGCAGUAGGGAAUCUUCCGCAAUGGGCGAAAGCUUGACGGAGCAACGCCGCGUGAUUGAUGAAGGUCUCCGGAUCGUAAAACUCUGUUAUUAGGGAAGAACAAAUGUGUAAGUAACUAUGCACGUCUUGACGGUACCUAAUCAGAAAGCCACGGCUAACUACGUG
rnacentral:rRNA from 1 species